rnacentral:rRNA from 1 species
GACGAACGCUGGCGGCGUGCUUAACACAUGCAAGUCGAGCGGAGCGGCGUACGGGUGAGUAACGCGUGAGUAACUGCCCCCCUCUCUGGGAUAACAGUUGGAAACGGCUGCUAAUACCGGAUAGUGGGGUAUGACUCGCGUCCUAUCAGCUUGUUGGGGGGGUAGUGUACUACCAAGGCGACGACGGGUAGCCAGACUGAGAGGGCGACCGGCCACAUUGGGCUACGAUAGUGCCCAAACGCCUACGGGAGGCAGCAGUGGGAAAUAUUGCACAGUAGGGGAAACGCUGAUGCAGCAACGCGCGUGCGGGAUGACGGCCUUCGGGUUGUAAACCGCUUUCAGCCAUGACGCGGUAGUGGCAGAAGAAGCACCGGCUAACUACGUGCCAUCAGCCGCGGUAAUAC